UUUCUCUUUUCCCCUCCCUUCUUCUUCCCCUUCUUCCUUCUAUUUAUCCUUCUGUUUCAUCUACAAAUAUUUGAGUGUCACUGUGUUCUAGGCACUGUGCCAGACAUUGGGAUUCGUUGGUAAGCAAGAGAGAGAGGCAUGGCCUCUGUCCUUAUGAGCUUGCAGUUUAUCCUAGUGUUACUUAUCUAGUCUGCCCUGCCUUCAAGGUUCAGUGGAAGCCCGAUCUUCAUGUAGUCCUUUGACUUCUUUGGCCCUUGCAAACCUAUCCCUUUGACCUAUGCUACUUUAAAUCUGAUUCAUACAAUUUAGCAUUUAUUGAUAUAAUUUCUUAUACUGUGGGCUAAUUGUUUAAAUAUCUUGUUUUACUGGCUAGAGUAUAGUUCCUUAAGGACAGAGACUGUCAUGUUAUUUUUUUUUUUUUUGCAAUACUGAGCCCAAAGGUUUUGAUUUCAGUCUGCCCUGCUGAAUGUUGAAGUUACUAGUAGCUCUUGGGACUUAGAAGUAGUGAUGAGAUAAUGCCUUGCUUUUUAGUUUAUUUUCUAUUUUGUUUUAUUUUAUGUUUCUUUUUUGAAAUGGUAUUGGGCUGGCCGCAGUGGCUCACGCUUGUAAUCUCAGCACUUUGGGAGGCCGACGUGGGUGGAUCACCUGGCCAACAUGGUGAAACCCCGUCUCUACUAAAAAGACAAAAAGUUAGCCAGGUGUGGUGGCGGGGGCCUGUAAUCCCAGCUACUAGGGAGGCUGAGACAGGAGAAUUGCUCGAACCCGGGAGGCGGAGGUUGUGGUGAGCUGAGAUCGCACCAUUGUACUCCAGUGUGGGCAACACGAGUGAAACUUCGUCAC
rnacentral:lncRNA from 10 species